AUUGAACGCUGGCGGCAUGCCUUACACAUGCAAGUCGAACGGCAGCAUGGAGGAGCUUGCUCCUCUGACGGCGAGUGGCGAACAGGUGAGUAAAGCAUCGGAACGUACCGUGUAGUGGGGGAUAGCGUAGCGAAAGUUACGCUAAUACCGCAUACGCACUGAGGUGGAAAGCAGGGGAUCGCAAGACCUUGCGCUAUACGAGCGGCCGAUGUCAGAUUAGCUAGUUGGUAGGGUAAAGGCCUACCAAGGCGACGAUCUGUAGCGGGUCUGAGAGGAUGAUCCGCCACACUGGGACUGAGACACGGCCCAGACUCCUACGGGAGGCAGCAGUGGGGAAUUUUGGACAAUGGGGGAAACCCUGAUCCAGCCAUGCCGCGUGAGUGAAGAAGGCCUUCGGGUUGUAAAGCUCUUUCGGCUGGGAAGAAAUCGCACAGGCUAAUACUCUGUGUGGAUGACGGUACCAGCAUAAGAAGCACCGGCUAACUACGUGCCAGCCGCCGCCGUAAAAC
rnacentral:rRNA from 1 species